UGGGGAAUAUUGCACAAUGAAGGGAACUCUGAUGCAGCGACGCCGCGUGAGUGAUGAAGGAAUUCGUUUCGUAAAACUCUGUUCUAUGGGAAGAAAAGGACUGUACCAUAGGAGAAAGCUCCGGCUAAAUACGUGCCAGCAGCCGCGGUAAUACGUAUGGAGCGAGCGUUGUCCGGAAUUAUUGGGCGUAAAGGGUGCGCAGGCGGCUUUACAAGUUGGAUGUGAAAUAUUGUGGCUCAACCACAAACGUGCAUCCAAAACUGCAAAGCUUGAGUUAAGGAGAGGUAAGUGGAAUUCCUGGUGUAGCGGUGGAAUGCGUAGAUAUCAGGAGGAAUACCGGUGGCGAAGGCGACUUACUGGACUUAAACUGACGCUCAGGCACGAAAGCGUGGGGAGCAAACAGG
rnacentral:rRNA from 1 species